rnacentral:lncRNA from 1 species
GUUUUUCUUCAGAUGAGUUAGCCCGAGUUGCUAGUUAUGCCAAAGUGCAGUUGACUCUUCGCCUGGCAACUUUUCACCCUUCUUGGGGAAUGUGGCUUCCAUGGAUAGUGCUAGAGGGCAUUUACACAACAAUUUUAUGAACAAACAGGUUAGCAGAGCACAUCGUUGCAUUCCUGAACGAGAGCUGAAGUUAGCAUCUUCCUCUGAGACCCCAAGUGGUGUCUCUCUAAUGACAAGGGAAUAUUCUUGCACAUGUGCAGAUGUCGGGC